GAUGAAGGAACGUAGCGAAAUGCGAUAAGUAAUGUGAAUUGCAGAAUUCAGUGAAUCAUCGAAUCUUUGAACGCACAUUGCGCCCGCCAGUAUUCUGGCGGGCAUGCCUGUCCGAGCGUCAUUUCAACCCUCGAACCCCUCCGGGGGGUCGGCGUUGGGGACCUCGGGAGCCCCUAAGACGGGAUCCCGGCCCCGAAAUACAGUGGCGGUCUCGCCGCAGCCUCUCCUGCGCAGUAGUUUGCACAACUCGCACCGGGAGCGCGGCGCGUCCACGUCCGUAAAACACCCAACUUCUGAAAUGUUGACCUCGGAUCAGGUAGGAAUACCCGCUGAACUUAAGCAUAUCAAUAAGCGGAGGA
rnacentral:misc_RNA from 1 species